UUCCAAAAAUUGAUCAUUUCAUUCGAAACAGUUUCUUUUUCCCAAUUGAAGAACUUUAAUCUGGUUUGAUCGAAAUUGCUUGAUUCUUGUUGGACUGACAGCUAUAUAUCUCAAAUUGGAGCCAGUGGCAGCUCCAUAUGUAUACUUCUUGACUUUCUGUAGCGAUGUCCUUAUCAGCCGCCUCUACCGCGAUAACGUCGAGUAAUUAAUAGUAUGUGAUUUCACCUAAUAAGCUUUAAUCAACCUUCUCCAAUGGAUACACAAGGUGCUGGAACUUCCAUAAAGAGACAACGUGUCGAUACACAAGUGAGAUCGGUAGGUGAUUUUGUCGAAUACUUUCACCGGGUCCCACAGAGGUUGUCUUCUACGGACCCAGAGAGGUUGUCUUUAUCGAUCUCUCCAGCGUUUAUGCAGAGUUUGCGUGAUGCUAACGUUCUUGGCUUGCGAAAGCCACCGGGCCAGCGUGUGCCGAUAAUCACUUACUAUGAAUUAGUUCCUUCUGUCAUUCGCGAAGCCAUGCGAGAUGUCUUUGAAAUGUACUACAAAUACCGCCUCAUUCGUAACGAAGUUAUGGACGUUGAUUAUGCUGAAGUUGCAGAUCACGCUACUGUAACGGCUGACGUGUGCAUGUCCGCGCUCUAUGCAAAGCUGCGUAACAUUCACCGCACCUUCGGAACUGAUUCCGACAGGUAUACAAAUUCUGCUCGAUACACAAAGAAUAUUGAGUUGCCCGUCCCUUUUGCUGAGGCGAUCUCUAACAUUGGUGUGUUCAAUACUGAGAUGACUGUGAACAUUAAGACCGUUGUGCCAACAUAUCCCGAGGGAACUGAGAAUGAAGGUUGCUCCUGCGAGGAAUUCCCUAUCGCACGCUAUUGCAGCAUCCUUCCUCACAUGAAGAAUGCUGGAAUUCCUCUCAAGUCCAUUGAUAUCCACGAUACAACUGGUACCGCUUGGUGGACUUUCAAAGUUAAGCAUGAUGGUGAUCGAUAUGCCUUUGCUGGAAUAUUUCCUCCUGUUCUAUACUCCACUCUGUCAUGCCAGAUCGCACAGAUGUUUAUUGUGACUGAUUGUCAUGGCACAUUCAGCCCCAUUGUCACUCACCAGGCUGAAGAUCUGCCAUAUCAGACGAGGUUGGUUGAUAUCAGAGAUGAUGCUCCAUUCCGGGCAUUUGCUGCACUAUGUGGAGGUCCAAGUGAAGAAUGGAAUGAAUAUGCUAAUAUUCAUUAGCCCUGAGAUGUUGGGCCUUUGUUUUACCAAACUUUUGCUGACGGCUUGCUAUAUUUGUCACUAUUACUCCUUAAGACGAGAUGAUUGUUCAGACACUGUUGGACCUCACAGAUGUUGAUGAUAAUAAUGGAAUGCUUUGCAGAUGACAACGUUAAUAAGUUCUAUUCUCAUGACACUUUCACACUCAAAGAAGACGUGAUGAGAUACAUUGCUGAUGUUGUUAUAUCACAUCCGUAGUUCCGAGCAAUUUGCUUUAAGUGGCAAGCCAGUUGGUUUUAUUUUUGUAUCACCGUUCACGGAAGUAAUAGGUGCAGAGGAGAGCUUGAAUCUGAAUUAUAGUAUCAGAGAGACUUGCAGUUGUGAUAAAUGUUGAUGAUCCAGGAUCAGAGAGGGUGUUGGAGAAGACUGGUUUUAUAAAAGGUGUUUUGAGGAAGUAUUAUCUUCUUAAAGGGAAAUCAAGAGACAUUGUUAUGUUUAGUCUUUUAUCCACUGAUCCACAAGUCACUUACUUCAUGUAAUACAUUAGAAAAUCUUUAAUUAAUUGGUAACUUCCAGCCUUACCAAAAGAUCAUCAGCAUCAGAAAGUUUGAAUAACCUGAGAGGUAUUGUUGAGAGUCCAUUUCUAGAACUUGUUCUUGCUGUGAUUUCCUCUGUUGACUCUGUUAAUGGAUUUUUAAGUCUAGUUGGGUAA